UGGGGAAUAUUGGACAAUGGGCGAAAGCCUGAUCCAGCCAUGCCGCGUGUGUGAAGAAGGUCUUCGGAUUGUAAAGCACUUUAAGUUGGGAGGAAGGGCAUUAACCUAAUACGUUAGUGUUUUGACGUUACCGACAGAAUAAGCACCGGCUAACUCUGUGCCAGCAGCCGCGGUGAUACAGAGGGUGCAAGCGUUAAUCGGAAUUACUGGGCGUAAAGCGCGCGUAGGUGGUUUGUUAAGUUGGAUGUGAAAUCCCCGGGCUCAACCUGGGAACUGCAUUCAAAACUGACUGACUAGAGUAUGGUAGAGGGUGGUGGAAUUUCCUGUGUAGCGGUGAAAUGCGUAGAUAUAGGAAGGAACACCAGUGGCGAAGGCGACCACCUGGACUAAUACUGACACUGAGGUGCGAAAGCGUGGGGAGCAAACA
rnacentral:rRNA from 1 species